UUAAAAAGCUCGUAGUUGAACCUUGGGCCUGGCUGGCCGGCCCGCCUCACCGCGAGUACUGGUCCGGCUGGGCCUUUCCUUCUGGGGAACCUCAUGGCCUUCACUGGCUGUGGGGGGAACCAGGACUUUUACUGUGAAAAAAUUAGAGUGUUCAAAGCAGGCCUUUGCUCGAAUACAUUAGCAUGGAAAAAUAGAAUAGGACGUGCGGAUCUAUUUUGUUGGUUUAUAGGACCGCCGUAAUGAUUAAUAGGGAUAGUCGGGGG
rnacentral:rRNA from 1 species